UGGACGAACGCUGGCGGCGUGCUUAACACAUGCAAGUCGAACGGAAAGGCCCUGCUUUUGUGGGGUGCUCGAGUGGCGAACGGGUGAGUAACACGUGAGUAACCUGCCCUUGACUUUGGGAUAACUUCAGGAAACUGGGGCUAAUACCGGAUAGGAGCUCCUGCUGCAUGGUGGGGGUUGGAAAGUUUCGGCGGUUGGGGAUGGACUCGCGGCUUAUCAGCUUGUUGGUGGGGUAGUGGCUUACCAAGGCUUUGACGGGUAGCCGGCCUGAGAGGGUGACCGGCCACAUUGGGACUGAGAUACGGCCCAGACUCCUACGGGAGGCAGCAGUGGGGAAUAUUGCACAAUGGGCGGAAGCCUGAUGCAGCAACGCCGCGUGCGGGAUGACGGCCUUCGGGUUGUAAACCGCUUUCGCCUGUGACGAAGCGUGAGUGACGGUAAUGGGUAAAGAAGCACCGGCUAACUACGUGCCAGCAGCCGCGGUGAUACGUAGGGUGCGAGCGUUGUCCGGAUUUAUUGGGCGUAAAGGGCUCGUAGGUGGUUGAUCGCGUCGGAAGUGUAAUCUUGGGGCUUAACCCUGAGCGUGCUUUCGAUACGGGUUGACUUGAGGAAGGUAGGGGAGAAUGGAAUUCCUGGUGGAGCGGUGGAAUGCGCAGAUAUCAGGAGGAACACCAGUGGCGAAGGCGGUUCUCUGGGCCUUUCCUGACGCUGAGGAGCGAAAGCGUGGGGAGCGAACAGGCUUAGAUACCCUGGUAGUCCACGCUGUAAACGGUGGGUACUAGGUGUGGGGUCCAUUCCACGGGUUCCGUGCCGUAGCUAACGCUUUAAGUACCCCGCCUGGGGAGUACGGCCGCAAGGCUAAAACUCAAAGGAAUUGACGGGGCCCCGCACAAGCGGCGGAGCAUGCGGAUUAAUUCGAUGCAACGCGUAGAACCUUACCUGGGUUUGACAUGGAUCGGGAGUGCUCAGAGAUGGGUGUGCCUCUUUUGGGGUCGGUUCACAGGUGGUGCAUGGCUGUCGUCAGCUCGUGUCGUGAGAUGUUGGGUUAAGUCCCGCAACGAGCGCAACCCUUGUUCACUGUUGCCAGCACGUUAUGGUGGGGACUCAGUGGAGACCGCCGGGGUCAACUCGGAGGAAGGUGGGGAUGACGUCAAGUCAUCAUGCCCCUUAUGUCCAGGGCUUCACGCAUGCUACAAUGGCUGGUACAGAGAGUGGCGAGCCUGUGAGGGUGAGCGAAUCUCGGAAAGCCGGUCUCAGUUCGGAUUGGGGUCUGCAACUCGACCUCAUGAAGUCGGAGUCGCUAGUAAUCGCAGAUCAGCAACGCUGCGGUGAAUACGUUCCCGGGGCUUGUACACACCGCCCGUCAAGUCAUGAAAGUUGGUAACACCCGAAGCCGGUGGCCUAACCGUUGUGGGGGAGCCGUCGAAGGUGGGACUGGUG
rnacentral:rRNA from 1 species